GGGGGGCCAAGGUUUUUUCGAAAUUCUGGGCGUAAAGGGCUUGUAGGGCGGCCCAAUAAAUGGGACGGGGAAUUCCCCCAGCUCAACCUGGGAAAUGCGUCCGAUACUGGGAUGCCUGAAUCCGGGGAGAGGGAUGCAGAAUUCCAGGUGUAGCGGUGAAAAUGCGUAGAUAUCUGGAGGAAUAACCGGUGGCGAAGGCGGCAUCCUGGACCGGCAUUGACGCUGAGGAGCGAAAGCCAGGGGAGCAAACGGGAUUAGAUACCCCGGUAGUCCUGCCCCUAAACGAUGAAUGCUUGGCGUAACGGGUAUCGAUACCCUGUUGUGCCGAAGCUAACGCAUUAAGCAUUCCGCCUGGGGAGUACGGUCGCAAGGCUG
rnacentral:rRNA from 1 species